rnacentral:rRNA from 1 species
CUGAUCCAGCCAUGCCGCGUGAGUGAUGAAGGCCUUAGGGUCGUAAAGCUCUUUCGCCUGUGAAGAUAAUGACUGUAUCAGGUAAAGAAACCCCGGCUAACUCCGUG